UACGUAGGGGGCGAGCGUUGUCCGGAAUCAUUGGGCGUAAAGAGCUCUGUAGGCGGUUUGCGAUCUGCCGUGAAAGCCCGGGGCUCAACUCCGGAAUUGCCUUUAAGACUGCAUCGCUAGAAUUGUGGAGAGGUAAGUGGAAUUCCGAGUGUAGAGGUGAAAUUCGUAGAUAUUCGGAAGAACACCAGUGGCGAAGGCGACUUACUGGACACAUAUUGACGCUGAGGUGCGAAAGCGUGGGGAGCAAACAGG
rnacentral:rRNA from 1 species